UUAUUAUACCUCCCAAUAUAUACCCUGAUCUGAUCUGGUGAGCAUAUUAUACGCCUUAAUGUUGUCAGCACACUUACUAUUUCUUCCUUUAUUUGUUGUAUUGGAAGUAAAAUUCAGCAUAACUUGAGGAGAAUGAUGGUUUGGACUUGUUUUAACAAGUUAUAGGUAGGAAGAAGUAUGGUACAACCAAGCUUCCCAAACUAAUGACCAGGGCUUUAAAAUAGUGCUUACGAAAUGAUAAAAGGAAUUUAUUAACACUAAUUAUGUCGGUCUUUCAACAAACGGAGCUCAGGCAAUAACAAAAUUAUGGAGAUAUUUAGAACAUGAUAUGUGGUUCUUUUCAGUAAAAGUUGCAGUAAUAUUGGUUUACCUUUACUGGAGUUGUUUCACAACAAUUCAGGCCAUUUUGUCUUUGAAUUUCAGGUUCACAAAAUUGUUGACCUUUCCCCAUAUCCCGAUCGAGAGGCAAUGUGGUAUCUAGAAGUCCUGGAGGCUUACAAACUUUUCUACGGGCCCCUACUUGAAGAAUGAUAGAAGGGAGCAAGGUUGGGAGAGAGAGAGUCACUUCUAGUGUACAUGAUAGAAGGAAUGUAAACCUUAAUCUUUUUGUUUCAUAUGUAGCAUCAAUAGAAACUUAAUGCAUCAGCCAGUCUUGUUACUACUUACUCCAUUUCCAUUACGGUUCUAAUUGCACAGUUCAAUUCAACCGGUAUGAGCUCAUACAUAGAAUUAUACCAUCUUUUAAUAUGGCAAAACCCAAGUUUCAUUACAGUCGAGUUGAGAGCCCAACAAAAAGAGUUCACAUGCUCAUCCGCUUCAUUGGAAUGUCGUACUAUAAAG
rnacentral:lncRNA from 1 species